rnacentral:precursor_RNA from 1 species
CCUCUUUUAUUGCCACUUUGGUGUCAAUCAAUAUAACCAACGUGACAAUAAAAGAUAA